rnacentral:rRNA from 1 species
UACGGGGGGGGCAAGCGUUGCUCGGAAUUACUGGGCGUAAAGGGUCCGUAGGCGGUCUGUUGCGUCCGCUGUGAAAACUCGGGGCUUAACCCCGAGCCUGCAGUGGAUACGGGCAGACUAGAGGUAGGUAGGGGAGAAUGGAAUUCCCGGUGUAGCGGUGAAAUGCGCAGAUAUCGGGAGGAACACCGGUGGCGAAGGCGGUUCUCUGGGCCUUACCUGACGCUGAGGAGCGAAAGCGUGGGGAGCGAACAGG